GCUACGAUUUAGGGCACUUUCUAGAAAUAAUUUCAACUCUUCCAAGUUUCUACUUCGAAUAACGUUGGAGAAGAACAUCAAUCGUACACAUUGUUCCGUCAAAUCUCGUUGAUUUGGGGUUUGUUUUGUUGGGUUUUAGUUAGGGUUUCGGAAAAUUAGAAAUGAAUGGUGAAGGCGAUGAAGAUAUGAAAAUGGAGAUGAAGUGUGAGGAGAAGUCAGUGUAUAUGUGGGGAUAUUUACCUGGAGCGUUACCUCAAAGGUCGCCGAUAUUGUCUCCGGUGGAAGUUAGGCUCCCGCAGUCAAUUGACGCUGGUCGGCUCUGGGCAGAUGUCUGUGGCGGCGGUUGUGGAUUUGCUAUGGCCAUUUCAGACACAGGGAAGCUAAUCACAUGGGGUUCAACAGAUGAUCUCGGUCAAAGCUAUGUGACAUCAGGGAAGCAUGGGGAAACGCCAGAACCUUUCCCUCUUCCGAAAGAAGUUUCAAUAGUGAGAGCUGCAGCAGGUUGGGCGCAUUGCGCCUGUGUAACAGUGGCAGGGGAGGUUUAUACAUGGGGAUGGAAAGAGUGUGUUCCCUCUGGGAAAGUUGUUGGAGACCCAAACACGGCUCAAAGUCAAGAUAAAGAUGUAUUUGAGAGGCAGAAUCCGUUUUUGACGGAACAAGGUAAUCCAAUUUCGACUCUAUGCCAGUCAUUGCAGGAGCUUUUGCAACUGUUAUUAACUAAAAUUCCCAAACGUACUAUAGUUAGCCCUCGAUCCCACGGUUCAAGAUCCACUGGUGGUGCAGCCUCUGGCGUGGACGGUAAAGCAAUUGGGGAUGAAAAUACUAAGAGGAGACGUGUAUCAUCAACCAAACAAGUGGUUGAAAGCUCAUCGUCGGGUGAUGAGCCUCUCUCGGCUUUGCCCUGUUUGGUAGCAUUGAAUCCGGGAGUAAGGAUAGCAACAGUUGCAGCUGGUGGUCGACAUACGUUGGCAUUAUCAGUUUCAGAUAUCGGACAGGUGUGGGGUUGGGGCUAUGGAGGUGAGGGGCAGCUAGGUUUGGGGUCUCGCAUACGAAUGGUAUCUUCACCGCAUCCUAUACCCUGCAUUGCUACAUCUUCUGUAGGAAAAGAUAGAUCUGCAGCCCUUCCCAGAGGAAGCAUGGGCUCAGAAGGGCAGGGUUAUAGAGUCCCUGGAAAUUACAUAAAAGGGAUUGCUUGUGGAGGACGACACAGUGCUGUAGUUACUGAUGCUGGGGCAUUAAUGACUUUUGGUUGGGGACUCUACGGACAGGUGAAAUUCCCUCGUUUUGAAAAUAUUUGUUCUAUUCUGUUUUCUUGUUCUGCUGUCUCUGUUUUUUUGGCAUCCUCUUACAAACGAUAUGUGUGAUUCUCGUGUGGAACUUGGACAAUGAUUCAAUGAUUUUCACUUAUUACAUGGUUUUGUUUCUUGUUUGCUUCAAGUGGGUGUGUUGAUACUCCAAUAGGGAGUAUGUUCGCAUGAGUGAAGAUGGAUAUCCACUAUCCAGCUGCCAAUAUGAAGCUUUCUACAAUGUAUUGGUGUCAUCAUCAUAUUUUUUCCUUAUACUAUUAAAGUUCACAACUUAACGUCUUUUAAGAAAUAAAUUUUAGAUGUGUCAUUUGCUACAGCACAUAAGGGAGCCCUAUAUUACUUUUGGACAAAGUUUUGUUUUCUUGCUAGAAGUCAUUGUUCAGUUGAUUCUUUUGCUCCUAUGAAAAUACAUUUCUUUGGGACCAAGGGGCUGCUCAUCAUUCACUUAAAUUCAAUUGGACAGGAUGUGAGGAUUUUAUUAACUGAACUACUUGUAUAUAGUGAACUGAGUCCUGGAUGGCAAUUUAUAUUCCAGGAAUAAAAGUAGAAAGAUAACUUUCAAAAUUAUCUUACUGGGCCUAAGGCCCAUGCAAUGCAUGGGUGUCCUAUGUUAGUUUGACCACUUCUCCAUUGAAAUAUGAUAUGAUAAGAUCUGGAAUUUUUAUGGCAAUGAAGUAUUUCUCCAUCUUUGGUCUCAUAAUAUUGUUGAUACUUGCAAGUCAAGUGUUCUUAAGUAGAUCAUAGAUUGUAAGCACAUAGUCGAUUUAGACAAGGGUUUCACGGUGCAGAAAACCCUGUAAAUGAUAUAUGUAGUUGCACAGUCUAUCAACCAAACUUUAAAGAGUGGACCAACAUAAAUAAUCAACCAACCACUUUUUAUUUCAUGAAUGCGAAAAGCAUAAACAUUUCAAUUGCCGAGGUAGUUUGAUCCUAUUUGUAUAUAUAAAUUAGUUUAAUUGUAUUUAGGAUUUUUUUAAUUGGUUGGAUUUUAGCUCUUUAAAGACUUGAUUAUCUGGAAGAGUUGUAAUUGAUCCUGAGGUGCUUUGAUUUGUUGGAAAAUUUUCCAAUUACAAAAUAUCGGUCUGAAAUGACUUCUCGGCACAUACAAAUUAAUGACGGAACUAUGUGGGGUUUCCACAACAAAUUUCGAAAAGCUGGACUCCCCACAAUUUUCAUGUGAAAAGAGGGUAUGGGAGGGGCUUUCCUUUGUCACACAAGUAUGAAUGGUAGCUGCAUGUUUACUUUGAUACAAUUACACAUCUUCCAUUUUAUUCUGACUAUGUGAUUGAAGUCCAAUGAAACAUUCAAGUCUCAACUUGCUGCUUCCUUGCGCAUGUAAUGGUCAUUUGGUACCCUUGGGCAAAAGUGGCUCAUGAGAUGUGCAACAUUGUUGAUAUGCUCCUUCUCGACAGCUAGAGCUAGGAGAAAGAGGUCAUGGUGGAGAUAGGUUUACACACUAUGCUACCCUUUUCAUAAAGCUCCGCAAGAGAGAGAGCUAUGCUUAGGUCAGUUCCUUCACUCCACCUUUUAGGUAAGCCAAAAGUUCACUUGUUGGAUUGAGGGAAGGCUUUCCUUCUUUGUUGACUUCAUUUAAGUUGGACCAGCCUCUUUUUGGGUUUCCAUACCUCGGGACUUUAUUAAAAAGAGAAGAAAUAUAAAAUGUUCCCUCAGGAGUCUCGUGGAAGUGCUUAUUUCUAUUUAAUCACAUGGAGGAUGUGUUCGUAUUGGAGUUCAAAGUUCAGACUAAAGGUAGGCAUUGACCACCCAAGUGUCAGGAGUUGAAGAUAGAGGGAUCCAUUAUGGAGAAUGUUGACAACGUUGAGAAAGUCUUAGUGAAACUUUCUAUGGGAAGUGUCAACAAUGAUGAGAAUAUUGGGGUUUCAAAGGUCGAAAAUGUUGACACUUACAAAUGGCUAAGCAAUGAGAGCGAGUAAACCUCUAUGACGAAUGAGGUUUGUUCAACACACGUGGAGGACAAAUUGGUUCAGCAACUGAGCCAUGCCUUGUGGAUUGCACAAGUUGCAAGCUAGAUGAUUACAUUGUUAACGAUUAACCAUGUAUAGGUAGUUAUAUCGCGGAUAUGGUGAGGAAGUUGGUGCGAUACUUGUCCACAUGAAAGCACAAGGGUAUUAAUCCAAAUGUUCAGAGAUUACAUUAAAUCAUGGAACAUGGGACUGAUGCAAGUUAAAUCGGUAGAGUGGUCAUUGAUAAAUAUUGAAGUGCCAUCGUGAACGAACUAAAAUUCUGCACACCUCGACAUAGGACCGGAAAAUGCAAGUGAUAGUCCUUUUCAUUUACAAAAUUUAUUUUAUUUCUUUCCUUUGGAAGUUUAGAUCUAAAGGGCUAAAUUAUUAGGUUAACCUUUGCAUUUCGAUUGUGCCUGCAUUUGCCUUGCCUAGGGGUCUAGGAUAGAAUGUUUAGGACUGAGAACCUGUUUACUGAAAGCAAGAUUCAAUUCAAAAGAGUUACUCUCCCAGCUGUUUCAUUUCUCAUGCCUUUGUAAGCUGUGGGAACCUGCAAGGAACUGAUUUCGUUCUUCAAUCAUGCCAUUCGGGUUCACACCUGUGUUAUAACACCUAUCCUGAAAUCAGUUAAUCUAGUAGGACAAAGCCUUGAGGAAAUGAUUGCUGUUUCAUUAUAGUCCAACUUUGAUUGUUUUCCGCUUAUGUGGGUCUGCAUUGCACAUUGUAAUGUGUCUUGUAGAGAAAUCGUCUUCUUUGUCGAUCAAACAUGUUCAAUUUUUUUGGUUGGUACUAAUCAAUAUGAAGUAUUCUCAUAUCAAAUUAUGGGUGAGUGUGCAUGGAUCCUUGGUAUGACUUAAGGACAAUGAAAUACCGUAAUUACUAAUGUUCUUCAUUUCCUAGAAAGUGGGUUUUUGCUGGUUAUAUCAAUUUUUUAUAGGUUAUUUACGCCAUUUGUUAGAAAUGCAUGCCUGUGCAGGUCCUCAUAUUUUGGGGUCCUCUAAGCAUGAUUUUGCAAGGUAAUGAAUUCAUAGGGUGGUCUCUUUGCUCCAUCUACCACUUGAGAAUGAGUCACUAGUACUAGGUUGUUAGCAGAGCAAGUCAAUAUCUUGGAUGAGUCACUAGUACUAGGUUGUUAGCAGAGCAAGUUAACUUUUACCAUUGGGAUGGCCUUCUUUUUAUAGGUGAAUAUGAUUGGUUAACGAUUGGAAAAGUUGAAGUGCAGGCUUAGAUGACCGUUUGAAUGAAUAACUAUCAGCGGUAUAGGUGUAUUAAAUGCUUUCCCACCUUAGAUUUGGUUGUGCCUCUUCUUUCGGUCAAUGAGAUGUGGCACUUGAAAGAUUAUGGAGCAUGGAUGUUUUUGUUGCGUUGUCGGUUUAGCAAGCCUCUUAAAUUUGUGGUGGGUUUGGCAUGUGAAUGCAGAGCCAAAGUCCUUUUAACUGGAUUAGUUCUUAAUGGUAGUAGAUCACGGCCUUUACGGCUGCGGGGGAUCCUAUCACAAAGUGCAGUAAACUAUGAACACACAAAUCGAUUUUCUACCUCUGUUACCUACUUGUACUUGCAGUUACCACGUGUACAUUCCUACCACAUUCUAUCCUUUUUGGUUUGAUUAGUGACUGCUGCACUUUUUUACUUGAUUACUUGGGAAUGUUAAACAGUGUCCUUGGGUAGCGGGACAUGUAGAGGGCUGCAUUGGACUUGCUGGAGCUCAGAGUGUAGACUCUUAUCACCAGGGGAUAGAAAUUGCUGGUUAUGCAAGCAAUGGGUUAAUUAGGAGCUGUGUUAUGAUUUCUCCCUUGAGUGUGUCUGUUGUGUUCACCUUGAAUUGCUUUAUUUUUUCACUGAUGGAUAAGCUUUGUUCUUUUUGCUAAUGCAUUUCCAUGGGUCUUGUAUUGGGCAUAUUUAAGUUUUUAAUAUACGUCAAGAGAACAAGAGGUGAUUUGGUGGCAUUGACGAUUUGCAACUUCGACAAGAAUGACUGUGACAGAAAAGGUGAAUCGUCACAAUGUAUUAUCAAUUGACAGGAGAGGGAUACCCAAGCAGUCAAUGAUAAUAUUGAAGAGCAUCAUAGCUCUCUUUAUGACUGCUCAAGCCGCAUUUAAUCCUUCAAAGAGAAAAGGCGUGUGUUCCCGACUAGACAAUGGCAAAACUUAAUUAAGUGUUUUAUUCUUUGAUUAUUUAAUAAAUGCUUAUUAUGAGGUUCCCGUCCUUUGCUCAUUUGAUUACCGUCCUAUUUUGAUGAUUUUCUGUGAUGGCAGGUAGAUAAGCAUACAUAGGUAUGGUUAGUGUUCUGAUGAGAGGAAUAAGACAUAGAGGAUCUGACUGGGAUCUCGUUGCCAUAUAUUGUGCAAGCAACACGAGUCUACUCUUUGUUACUUGGUGUAAUACCUUUUGAGUUGCAUCAUUGUGAUUAAAUCCUCUAGCCUCUAGGGACAUUAGGAUAGCUGAGGAGUCUUGCCUUUUUUGAUGGUUCUUGUCUUGGUUCAAGUGGUAGAAACCAUAGGGAUUACUUGGCUAUGUAUGCAUUUUGAAGUCUUAUAUCUCUUUCAUGUAUGAAAAUCAUAUACUGAUGAAUAAACUAAUUUAAGAGAUAAUUAAACCUAGAACAAAACAAAGUUGAAAAUCUUUAAUAUAUUUUGCACCUCAUUGGGCCGAAGACGGCAACAAGUUUUUAAUUUUCUGUUCAUUGGACAUUAAUUAUUUCGAGAAGUAAAGAAAUUAUGUGUAAACCUUUAUAUCCAACUUGGAUGAACUGUAUGUUCAUUCUGAGUUAUCGGUAGGCAGGAAUUGGGUGCUGUGGGUAUAGUCUAGUGGCUAUUAUGAUAGAAUGUUGUUGAAGUCUAUCAGCUAACAAACUAACACAUAUUUAGGGUGGAUGAUUGUGCUCUUGAAGUUGCUUUUAGUAAUUAACCACGUAUUUUCUUGCAAUUGUUGCUAAAUGCAAAACCCUGUGGUACGGAUUCUGUCAUAUGUUUAUGGUAUUGAGCAAAUGGUGAUGAUGGUUUGUGCAUGCUCAUUAUGUUUUAUAUGUUGAGUUCUUGUUGCUGAAUUGGUGGAGAUUCCACGAUAUUGACUUGCUCUGCAAAAUCAACAUGUAGGUAAGGUAGAAAUGAUGGAGAAAAAGCAGACUGAAUGUUCAAGAUGAAGUUCUAUAUGAAAGGCGAUAAAACAGACAUUUUUGAAUUAUAUCUAUGUUCUUCAUUUUCCAUUUUUGUUGCAAGAUUAUGGCGAUUGCAUGUUGGGAUUCUAAGCUGUGAUCAUAUUUCGUGCUGUAGUGUGGGCAAGGAAGUACUGAUGACGAGCUGAGCCCUACAUGUGUAUCAUCCUUGCUGGGUAUCAGGAUAGAGGGUGUUGCUGCUGGUCUCUGGCAUACAAUCUGCAUUUCAGCUGAUGGUGAUGUGUAUGCUUUUGGUGGGAAUCAAUUUGGCCAAUUGGGUACAGGCACUGAUCAAGCUGAGACGUUGCCAAGGCUUUUGGAUGCUCCUAGCCUGGAAAAUGAACAUGCAAGAGUUGUAUCUUGUGGGGCACGACACAGUGCUGUAGUUACUGAGGGGAAGGUGUUCUGCUGGGGAUGGAACAAGUAUGGCCAGCUGGGCUUGGGAGAUGU